AUGUUAUUAUUGCCUCUAGGGCAUAUUUCCAUCAGCGGGUCCUUGCAAUUUCCCUUCCUCGAUGACAUGUUGGAUUUUGUCCCUCGGAGCUAUUCAAAAAAUAGAAAGUUUCCUGUUCAAUCAACCUAUGCUAUGGACUGGAAACACGAACAUGGGAGAAAACUUAGAAGAAUUGAUAAUAUGGGACAUUUAAUUAUUAAUCCUAUUUGGAGUGAGAUUUGGAAGUUAUCUUGCCCGUUGAAGGUAUUUUUUUCUUCAUAUUUUGCAUGGAACUCUUUGGCAAAUAGACACAUAAAAGUUUCUCCCAAUUUUCCUUCAUGUUCCUUUGGAUCGGAAGAUACAAAACAUAUGUUAUUUCAAUGUCACAAAGCAAAUGAGGUUUGGAAAGUGGCCAGGCUGGAUCAAGUCAUUAAAAUAGCUUGCAAAGUUGAUUAUGCUGGUGAGGCUGUCCUAGAAUAUUUACUUUCGAUACCUGAACAUGAGUUGGCUAUCUUGGGUAUUCAGAAUGUUCGUGGGAUGAUUGCAAUUGCUACUUGGUAUUUGUGGUGGGAAAGGCGAAAAUUAGUUCAUAAGGAGAAAACCCAAGAUGCUAACCAGAUUUCUAUGGGGAUUCACGCUAUUACAUUAAACUAUGUUAUAACUAUAUCACCUAAGGCUACUAUGAAAAGAGGGGGCUGGACACAACCUCCGAGGGGGUUUGUAAAACUUAAUGUGGUAUAUGCUCAUGUGUUGCCGAGUACAGCUGCAACAUUGCCGGAUAUUCAAGAAAACAGUCUAAACAACCCUUAA
rnacentral:rRNA from 1 species